rnacentral:tmRNA from 1 species
GGGGACGAUUUUGGAUUCGACGCCGAUGAUGAAGCUUGAGGUGCAUGUGGAGAGGGUAUGACGAUCUCCUAAAUAAACGUUAUACAUAUAAAUAGUCGCAAACGACGAAAACUACGCACUAGCGGCAUAAUAGCCCGCUAACCUCUGAUUCUGGAUGCCUGUGGACAGAUGACGAGGGCACGCAACACAGGCUCGCGAUGGAGGCUUGUCUAAGGCUGAAGCGUUAAAUAAGUAUUAGGCUCGCCCUAAACGCCCUGUCUCUCGGGCCGUGAUGGGUUAAUCUAGUAGAGUGACUAAACAUGUAGAACCGAUAGUGGAGUGUUGGCGGACGCGGGUUCGAACCCCGCCGUCUCCACCA